GGGAGAAGGGAGAGACAUGGGGCUAUGCAGGGGCAUGCAGAGCCCUGGGGAAGACUGUGCCCUGCCUGGUGGUGACAAGGAGGAGCUGGGCUGGCAGAGGAGGUGAUGGGAGAGCUCUGGAUGAGCAGAACCUGCUGCAUGUGCAGUGGGCACAAAAGCAUCCCAAGAACGUGGGCACGGCUCCUCCUUGACCACAGAAAGCACCGCGACAGCCAAAGGGAACAACCAAAGGAAGCCGCUGUCUGCCAGACCCGCGCAACCCAGAGUCGGCCCAGCUCUGAUCUACCGCUGGUUGCAGUGGGGAGAAUGUCUCUGGACACAAAUGGCAGACUGGAGGCAGGGGACCAGAUUCCCUCUAUCAACGGACCAUGACAGCUGCAAAACCCCAGCCUGAAUCUCCUUUCCUGCACAAAGGUAGGAACUGGGGGCAAACUCUACUCUCUUAAGCUCUAAGACAAAUGAGGAUCGGGCUGUGCUUUGAUUCCCCAUCACAGAUGCUAUGUUCUGGGGUGAUGGAGGUGGUCAGCUCAGCCCUGCCCCUGUAGAGGCACAGAUGUGGUGGCUGCUCUGUAGUUUAUAUUUCUUUACCUACUUAUUACCCGGUGCUCAGGGCUGAUGUGAAAACACUAUGAGGGCAUUGAUUCUAUCCAGGGAGAAGGGAUAACCCUGAAAUGCAGGGUGCUUUCCAGGUUGCUCAGAGCAGCUUGGCCCUUCACCCCCAACACUGUGCUGCUGCCUCCCUGCCCACCCCAGAUGGACAACACUCACAAAUCAUAUGUGAGAUAGGCACUAAGCACACCACCCACGUACACAUAGCGCUUGCAGAAAACAAACAGUAACAACAAAACAGGCCUAAAAUAUUGCUGUGGGUGAGCAUGGAUAAAAAUCAGAUGACCCCAAGCGUGCGGCAGAGAGGUGGUUCCCCAUUGUGGACAUAGUGGUGAUGGGAGCACUGGGUGGCCAACAACCACCCCAUGCACACUGUAGGUUAUGUAUAUGGGUGAGGAGAGCUUUUGGGCAGAGCAGAAGAUUACCCAGAGCCCAUGGAAUUUGGAGAUAAACCCCCAGCUUCCCGAGCGGGGUACCUCCCUGCAUACAGCGAGAUAUUCAUAAACAUGUAAUCAAGUUUCCUCAUCCCUUUGACUGGCUUCUGGCAGCUCCCCCAGACAGACUGUUACUAACAUACUGUGGGUGUAAAUCGUCCUCCUGGGAAAUAUCAGGCCCAGAAAGCAUGGCAAUGGGAGGAAUGCGUGUCUAAUUCCCCCAUGAGAAGCUUAAAAAAAAACGUCCUGCUGUUAAGUUUUAUCUGCUCGUUUCCAAAAGAAAAGAGAAAAUGAUGUCUCCUUGUUCGCAGGGGAGGGGAGGAGGAACCCCCAGGAGAAAGCACAAAAGUUUUCCUCCACGGGGUGAUUGCAGAAAUUAGGAAGGGGUGUUACAGGCGUGUGCGAGCUCCAUUCUCUGCCCUCUAUUUGUGCAGAGCUGCUUGGGGAUCGUUGGUGUGUGCCAGCUCCCUCUGAACGCUGCCCUUGAGCAGGCAGCCAGCCUGCAGCUCAGCACCAGAGCUGGGACUUGGGGCAGGAUUUGGAGAGCCAGCAAAGGCAGAGGCAGCCCCCUGGGGGAGGUUGGGUAGGAAGGUGAGCAAAACCUGACCUGUCCUCUUCCAUUGUGCCUUUUUGGAGGAAAAAAAAAAAAAGAAAAA